rnacentral:rRNA from 1 species
UACGUAGGGGGCAAGCGUUGUCCGGAAUUAUUGGGCGUAAAGAGCGCGUAGGCGGUCCGAUAAGUCGGCUGUGAAAGUCAAAGGCUCAACCUUUGAAAGCCGGUGGAUACUGGAUGGCUAGAGUACGGAAGAGGCGAGUGGAAUUCCUGGUGUAGCGGUGGAAUGCGCAGAUAUCAGGAGGAACACCAAUAGCGAAGGCAGCUCGCUGGGACGUUACUGACACUGAGGCGCGAAAGCGUGGGGAGCGAACAGG